rnacentral:rRNA from 1 species
AUUGAACGCUGGCGGCAGGCUUAACACAUGCAAGUCGAGCGGAGAUGAGGUGCUUGCACCUUAUCUUAGCGGCGGACGGGUGAGUAAUGCUUAGGAAUCUGCCUAUUAGUGGGGGACAACAUUCCGAAAGGAAUGCUAAUACCGCAUACGUCCUACGGGAGAAAGCAGGGGAUCUUCGGACCUUGCGCGAGGAGAUGAGCCUAAGUCGGAUUAGCUCGGUGGUGGGGUAAAGGCUUACCAAGGCGACGAUCUGUAGCGGGUCUGAGAGGAUGAUGCGCCACACUGGGACUGAGACACGGCCCAGACUCCUACGGGAGGCAGCAGUGGGGAAUAUUGGACAAUGGGGGGAACCCUGAUCCAGCCAUGCCGCGUGUGUGAAGAAGGCCUUAUGGUUGUAAAGCACUUUAAGCGAGGAGGAGGCUACUGAGACUAAUACUCUUGGAUAGUGGACGUUACUCGCAGAAUAAGCACCGGCUAACUCUGUGCCAGCCGCCGCAGUAAUAC